rnacentral:rRNA from 1 species
CCCUUAGAUGUCCUGGGCCGCACGCGUGCUACACUGACGCCUACAGCGAGUACUUCCCAGCCCCGAGAGGUGGCUGGUAAUCAGCAAUAGGCGUCGUGAUGGGGAUAGAUCUUUGGAAUUAUGGAUCUUGAACGAGGAAUGCCUAGUAAGCGCAGGUCAUUAGCCUGCGCUGAUUAAGUCCCUGCCCUUUGUACACACCGCCCGUCGCUCCUACCGAUCUCGAGUGGUCCGGUGAAUCUUUCGGACUGCGCGCGGCCUCGUGCCGUGUCGCGGAAAGUCAGGUAAACCUUAUCACUUAGAGGAAGGAGAANUCGUANCA